rnacentral:lncRNA from 1 species
CACCUUAAUAUAAUUAAAUAAAAAAAUAUAAAUAAUUAUAAUAGAUAUUUUGUCUUUAUAUAAUUAUUCAUUUGAAUUAUAUGGUCUUGUGGUAACCUUGCUAACAUCAUAGGGAGGACCAUUCAUAAGAUAUAUUCGUUUUAGAAAAUUGGCAAGGUGUAACUUAUUUUUAAAGAACAUGUAUUAAGAAACAGUAGCUGACUUUGCCC